GACGAACGCUGGCGGCGUGCUUAACACAUGCAAGUCGAACGGAAAGGCCCUGCUUUUGUGGGGUGCUCGAGUGGCGAACGGGUGAGUAACACGUGAGUAACCUGCCCUUGACUUUGGGAUAACUUCAGGUAACUGGGGCUAAUACCGGAUAGGAGCUCCUGCUGCAUGGUGGGGGUUGGAAAGUUUCGGCGGUUGGGGAUGGACUCGCGGCUUAUCAGCUUGUUGGUGGGGUAGUGGCUUACCAAGGCUUUGACGGGUGGCCGGCCAGAGAGGGUGACCGGCCAUAUUGGGACUGAGAUACGGCCCAGACCCCUACGGGAGGCAGCAGUGGGGAAGAGUGCACAAUGGGCGGACGCCUGAUGCAGCAACGCCGCGUGCGGGAUGACGGCCUUCGGGUUGUAAACCGCUUUCGCCUGUUACGAAGCGUGAGUGACGGUAAUGGGUAAAGAAGCACCGGCUAACUACGUG
rnacentral:rRNA from 1 species